rnacentral:rRNA from 1 species
UACGUAGGGGGCGAGCGUUGUCCGGAAUUACUGGGCGUAAAGCGCGUGUAGGCGGCUCGGCAAGUCGGAUGUGAAAGCCCUGGGCUCAACCUAGGAAGUGCAUUCGAAACUGCAGAGCUUGAGUUCUGGAGAGGAAGGCGGAAUUCUCGGUGUAGAGGUGAAAUUCGUAGAUAUCGAGAGGAACACCUGUGGCGAAGGCGGCCUUCUGGACAGUGACUGACGCUGAGACGCGAAAAGCGUGGGGAGCAAACAGGG